rnacentral:rRNA from 1 species
ACAAUGCCAUGCCUCAGUACGGCGAGUGAGCGGCAAAAGCUCAAAUUUUAAAGCUGGCAUCUUCGGUGUCCGCGUUGUAAUUUUGUGAGGCAUCUCCGGGUAGGGCGCCGGCCUAAGUUCCUUGGAACAGGACGUCACAGAGGGUGAGAAUCCCGUGCUUGGCUGGCUGUCCCCGUCCAUGUGAGGUGUCUUCGACGAGUCGAGUUGUUUGGGAAUGCAGCUCAAAAUGGGUGGUAAAUUUCAUCUAAAGCUAAAUAUUGGUGGGAGACCGAUAGCGCACAAGUAGAGUGAUCGAAAGAUGAAAAGCACUUUGAAAAUAGAGUUAAAAAGUACGUGAAAUUGUUGAAAGGGAAGCGCUUGAGAUCAGACUUCGGUAGGGGGUGAUCAGCCGUCCUUCUGGGCGGUGCACUUGCCCCUCUCCGGGCCAGCAUCGGUUGAGGCGGCGGGAUAAAGGUCCCGGGAAUGUGGCUCCUUCGCGGGAGUGUUAUAGCCCGGGUGAAUGCCGCCAGUCUCGACCGAGGACCGCACCCGCAAGGGUUAGGAUGCUUGGCAUAAUGGUCUUCAGCGACCCGUCUUGAACCCCGGACAA